rnacentral:tRNA from 1 species
UAGAAAUUAGUUAAAAUAUAACAUUAAUUUGUCAAAUUAAAAUAACUCCUGUACUUCUAA